rnacentral:lncRNA from 1 species
GGAACUUGUGCAAGGUCACACAGCUGGGAAUCUCAGGAUGGAUCUGACCCCACCACAAACAUCCUGAGUACAGGCAGGACAGCCAGCCUACCCUCCGUCUGGGAUUUCAUAAUCACCCUUCACAUCCGAACGAGGCAUGCACAGUGAAUCCCUGUUUCACAGAUGAGGAAACUGAAGCUCAGAGAGAUGGGGCAUCUGAGACUCGAGCACGGAGAUGACUUCCUAGUCAGCCCAUGGGCUGUCCAGCGGUCGAGACUUUGGCCAGCACAGUCGGGCAGCUCCACCCCACAGCAGGCAAGGCCCAAGGACUCCGAGAGCUAACAGCCAUCGAAUGUAACAAUGGCCACCAUUUAUUGAGCCCCGAUUAUGUGCCAGGCGCUGUCCUGGGUGCUUUCCACAUUUUGCAGUGACUCAGCCAGUUCAGGUGGGACACCAAGAUGGCUGCUAGAGAACAGACCCCUUUGGUCCCCUCUCCUCCUGCUCCCCGCCCUCCUGCGGAGCUCUCAGGUUGACCUGGGGGGCAGAAGGUGUCCUCCCGGGCCCUGCCACCACCCAUUACUCCCUAACCGCUGCAGCUGGGAGAUAAGAUAGCACCAGCCCAUUAAUCAGGGCUGCUUGGCAGGGAGGUGGGGGUGG